rnacentral:rRNA from 1 species
AUUGAACGCUGGCGGCAGGCCUAACACAUGCAAGUCGAACGAGUGGCGGACGGGUGAGUAAUGUCUGGGAAACUGCCUGAUGGAGGGGGAUAACUACUGGAAACGGUAGCUAAUACCGCAUACCAUCGGAUGUGCCCAGAUGGGAUUAGCUAGUAGGUGGGGUAAAGGCUCACCUAGGCGACGAUCCCUAGCUGGUCUGCGAGGAUGACCAGCCACACUGGAACGGAGACACGGUCCAGACUCCUACUGGAGGCAGCAGUGGGGAAUAUUUGACGAUUGGCGCAAGCCUGAUGAAGCCAUGCCGCGUGUAUGAAGAAGGCCUUCGGGUUGUAAAGUACUUUCAGCGGGGAGGCGUUACCCGCAGAAGAAGCACCGGCUAACUCCGGGCCAGCAGCCGCGGUAAUAC